GACGUAGGGCGCGAGCGUUGUCCGGAUUUAUUGGGCGUAAAGAGCUCGUAGGCGGCUUGUCGCGUCGUCCGUGAAAACCUGCAGCUCAACUGCAGGCUUGCGGUCGAUACGGGCAGGCUAGAGUGUGGUAGGGGAGACUGGAAUUCCUGGUGUAGCGGUGAAAUGCGCAGAUAUCAGGAGGAACACCGAUGGCGAAGGCAGGUCUCUGGGCCACUACUGACGCUGAGAAGCGAAAGCAUGGGGAGCGAACAGG
rnacentral:rRNA from 1 species